rnacentral:tRNA from 1 species
GGUGCGUAGCUCAGUUGGCUAGAGCAACUGACUCUUAAUCAGUGGGUCCUGGGUUCGAGUCCCCGAUGGUGCACCA